rnacentral:siRNA from 1 species
CGUCUGACUUGGGUAUAGGG